rnacentral:ncRNA from 1 species
AUAUUUUCGUUGAUUGAUAAAUCAGUAGAAAUUAAUUAUUUACGAAGAGAUUUAGUGGUUGGUGGGAACUAAAAAAUGAUUAAUUUUGAAUUACACUAUCAGGAGAAAAACGUUAGUCGCGUUAAGAUAGAAGAGUGCAUAGAUUUUUAUCUAUGAAUUAAGGUGGUACCACGAGUCAAUUCGUCCUUAUG